CGUGCGGUGCCUGGCACCUGGAGCGAUUUAAGCUCCCGUGAUCAGGUAGCGGCACGACCCGACAGAGGU
rnacentral:ncRNA from 1 species